AAUAACACGAAGCAUCUUGCAGCUCUCCUAUAAUCACGGCGCGCUUAAUGGACCGCGCUGUUGCAUAUUGAUUUCGUAACGUAUCUUGAACCUGCCAAUACCUAUAGACGGUGUCUCGACGGUUAUCUGGAACCGAUCUGACGGCGUUUUUGUCAGGAAGUUACGCCUAACACAUCCACAAUGCCUUAAUAUAACUCGAGGUAGCGAGAAACUCGUUGCUCUCCAAGCAACAUCAGCCGAUGGUGGGAUCUCGACUUCUGCCAAUCCUGGAGCAGAAGGUGCUUCGCGGGAAGGUGCGACACGGUACACGCCGAGUGGCUACGGGUGGGGAUGGUGAUGCGGUUCCUGGAGGAAUUUCGGGAUCGCGCAAGGCGGCCCGAGCGCGCGAAUCCUGCACCGCGUGAUCCAGUCUACGAUCGCACAUAGGGCGGCGAGGAACGCAUUCCUGGAUCUGAGUGAUCUUGAAGAUAGAAAGCUCUCAAAGUGUUCUCAUGUAAUAACAUUUACAUUCGGAAAUAGAGUACGGCUAUUGUAACGGCAAAUUUCGUAAUUAUAGCUCGUGAUUAUCCAAUCAUUCAGCUGUCCAUAUCGGUGAAAACAUGCCACAAGCGGCCCACGAGACGACGAAUCUUUUAAUGACGUAUUUCAUCCUUAUUCUUCUAUUAAUCUCGCUUUGGGUGUUAUACUCAGGGUUGUUUUUUUAAGCACGACAGACAUUCCUCACCAUGGGCUGAACAACAGAGAAAAUACGUGUCAAAAGGCGGAUGCGUUCAGAGGAUCCAAAAUCGUCACCAACGUCACGGACACCUCGUUCGAAGCUCUCACCAGUUCUCAUUUAUUAUAUUUUCUACAAUCUGGGCGCCUGGAGACAUGUUCUACGCAAAUCAUCCUUGACUGUUUUCGUGACCGAUUUCGGCGAUGAGAAUUAUUCAAAAAUAUAUUUACCGAGCAAUAGGAAGAAUUUCAAAAGUAUAUUCCCCCAUUGUGUCUCGCUUUAAUUUCUUGCCACUUUGUCGUGGGAAUCGGCUAUCGAUUUUACACUAAUUACAUCUUCUUAGAUAAUUAGCUAUGAAUACAUUAUCUACAGUUAUAAUUCGCAUCGUUAUUGAAUUGUGCUCAUCUGGGAAGUGACCGAAAUAAAUAUAUCAGUUUGUUUCACGUACGUUCGUAUAUCUCGGUUUUUGUUUACCUUUACACAGUUGCGAUAUUAAAAAUGUAUUAUAAAAAGUUUCUUUAAAAAUUUGUUGUAGUAUAUAAUUUCGAUGCACGACGCGCUACAAACAAUAAAAUAAAUCUCUUCGUAUGGAAA